rnacentral:rRNA from 1 species
GCUGGCGGCAUGCUUAACACAUGCAAGUCGCACGGGCAGGGGUAACUCUGUCAGUGGCGGACGGGUGAGUAACGCGUAGGUAUCUAUCCUUGGGUGGGGGACAACCACGGGAAACUGUGGCUAAUACCGCAUGACGACUGAGGUCCAAAGGCCGAAAGGUCGCCUGAGGAGGAGCCUGCGUCCGAUUAGCUUGUUGGUGGGGUAACGGCCUACCAAGGCUCCGAUCGGUAGCUGGUCUGAGAGGAUGAUCAGCCACACUGGGACUGAGACACGGCCCAGACUCCUACGGGAGGCAGCAGUGGGGAAUAUUGGACAAUGGGCGAAAGCCUGAUCCAGCAAUGCCGCGUGUGUGAAGAAGGUCUUCGGAUUGUAAAGCACUUUCGACGGGGACGAUGAUGACGGUACCCGUAGAAGAAGCCCCGGCUAACUUCGUGCCAGCAGCCGCGGUAAUACGAAGGGGGCUAGCGUUGCUCGGAUUGACUGGGCGUAAAGGGCGCGUAGGCGGUUUGUACAGUCAGACGUGAAAUUCCUGGGCUCAACCUGGGGGCUGCGUUUGAUACGUGCAGACUUGAGUUCGGAAGAGGGUCGUGGAAUUCCCAGUGUAGAGGUGAAAUUCGUAGAUAUUGGGAAGAACACCGGUGGCGAAGGCGGCGACCUGGUCCGAUACUGACGCUGA